CGCAUCUGUGCAUGCAGCAUAUCAAUAAGCGGAGGAAAAGAAACUAACAAGGAUUCCCCUAGUAACGGCGAGUGAAGCGGGAAGAGCUCAAAUUUGAAAUCUUAAAGGGUUUCCCUUUACGAAUUGUAGUUUAAAGAAGUGUUUUCUGUUGAGGUUUUGGUAAAAGUUCUUUGGAAUAGGACAUCAUAGAGGGUGAGAAUCCCGUAUUUGACCAUUACUUUCAACUUUGUGAUACACUUUCAAAGAGUCGGAUUGUUUGGGAAUGCAGUCCAAAAUGGGUGGUAAAUUUCAUCUAAAGCUAAAUAUUGGCGAGAGACCGAUAGCGAACAAGUACCGUGAGGGAAAGAUGAAAAGAACUUUGAAAAGAGAAUUAAACAGUACGUGAAAUUGUCAAAAGGGAAGCGUUUGACACCAGUGUUGUUUUUCUGAAAAUCAAUUAAAGAACUGUUUAUGCUAAGUUGUUUAGACUUUAUCAGCUAACUGUUUAGUUUCGAGCUUUUCUUUAAUGCACUUUUCAGUUAACAAGUCAACAUCAAUUUCUUUUGCUGUAAAAAAGCUUGAGGAAGGUGGCUUGAGAUUCGUCUUAAGUGUUUAUAGCCUCUUGCCUAUGCAGUCGGAGAGAUUGAGGUCUGCAGCGUAGAUCCUUCGGGGCUAAAUGCAUUUGUGCUAAGUUAUAGCAUUUUAUAGACAACUUGUUGACUAUGAUUUGUCUUGUAGCUUACUCGCUUAUGUUAUUUUACCUACGCUUAGGAUGUUGACGAGACUGUCGAUCUC
rnacentral:rRNA from 1 species